rnacentral:pre_miRNA from 1 species
UCUGCUUUGUCCUAAGUCAAACGCGUCUAACUUUGAUCAAGUUCAUAUAAGAAUUUAUUAACAAAUAUAACAUCAAAUAAAUGCACUAUCAAGCUAUAUUUCAUGUUGGAGUCAAUGAAACUAAUUUGAUGUUGUAGAUGUUGGUGCUUUUUUCUAUAAACUUGGUGAAAGUUAGAUGAGUUUGGCUUAGGUCAAAGCUCGU